UUUCCUGAUGAUUAUCCUAAAUUUAUUAACUUUCGUUCUACCGAUUAUACAUCAAACGAUGUUGGGGACAAACUAAUUCUCUGAUC
rnacentral:snoRNA from 1 species